rnacentral:rRNA from 1 species
AAGGGAGCGUAGGCGGCUGAUUAAGUCAGCGGUGAAAGGUAGCAGCUUAACUGUUUUACAUGCCGUUGAUACUGGUUAGCUUGAGUUGACAGAAGGCAGAUAGAAUUCCUGAUGUAGCGGUGAAAUGCUUAGAUAUCAGGAGGAAUACCGAUUGCGAAGGCAGUCUGCUGCAGUCACACUGACGCUGAGGCUCGAAGGUGCGGGGAUCAAACAGGAUUAGAUACCCGUGU